ACGCUUGCGAUGUGCCUAAUGUAUGCAAGUCGAACGAUUCCUGUAUCUUCGGAUACAGGGAGUGGCAAACGGCUGAGUAACGCGUAGGAACCUACCCCAAACUCGAGUAUAGCCCCGCGAAAGCGGGGGUAAUCCUCGAUAGCCCGUGAAGUAUUUACUUCACGGUAAAGCUUUUGCGGUUUGGGAUGGGCCUGCGUCCUAUCAGGUAGUUGGUGAGGUAAAUGCUCACCAAGCCUAUGACGGGUAGCUGGUCUGAGAGGAUGGUCAGCCAGACUGGGACUGCGACACGGCCCAGACUCCUACGGGAGGCAGCAACUAGGAAUUGUGCGCAAUGGACGAAAGUCUGACGCCGCGACAUCGCGCGGAGGAUGAAGGUCUUCGGAUUGUAAACUCCUUUUCUUACCGAACAAGUUCUGAGUGUAGGUAAGGAAUAAGUGCCUGCUAACCACGUGCCAGAAGCAUCGGUAAUACGUGGGGCACGAGCGUUAUCCGGAUUUACUGGGCGUAAAGAGAAGCGUAGGCGGCUCAAUAAGUUUGGUGUUAAAUCUUCCGGCUCAACCGGAAACAAGCACCGAAAACUAUCGAGAUUGAGUCGAGUAGGGAAGAGGGGAAUUCCUGGUGGAGCGGUUAAAUGCGUAGAUAUCAGGAGGAAUACCAAGGGCGAAGGCACCUCUUUGGACUCGUGCUGACGCUGAGGCUCGAAAGCGUGGGUAGCAAAACGGAUUAGAUACCCGUGUAGUCCACGCCGUAAACGAUCCCUGUUAGAUGU
rnacentral:rRNA from 1 species